rnacentral:rRNA from 1 species
UAACCUGCCCAAGAGAUCGGGAUAACACCUGGAAACAGAUGCUAAUACCGGAUAACAACAGAUGAUGCCUAUCAACUGUUUAAAAGAUGGUUCUGCUAUCACUCUUGGAUGGACCUGCGGUGCAUUAGCUAGUUGGUAGGGUAACGGCCUACCAAGGCGAUGAUGCAUAGCCGAGUUGAGAGACUGAUCGGCCACAUUGGGACUGAGACACGGCCCAAACUCCUAGGGAGGCAGCAGCU